UGAGCAAUCUGCCCUUCUCUUCGGAAUAAGCGUUGGAAACGACGUCUAAUGCCGAAUACGACCUCCUUUCGCAUGAUCGGAGGUGGAAAGCUCCGGCGGAGAAGGAUGAGCUCGCGGCCUAUCAGCUAGUUGGUGUGGGUAACGGCCCACCAAGGCGACGACGGGUAGCCGGCCUGAGAGGGUGACCGGCCACACUGGGACUGAGACACGGCCCAGACUCCUACGGGGAGGCAGCAGG
rnacentral:rRNA from 1 species